GAUGAACGCUGGCGGCGUGCCUAAUACAUGCAAGUCGAGCGAACAGACGAGGAGCUUGCUCCUCGGACGUUAGCCGCGGACGGGUGAGUAACACGUGUAUAACCUACCUAUAAUACUGGUAUAACUUCGGGAAACCGGAGCUAAUACCGGAUAAUAUAUUGAACCGCAUGGUUCAAUAGUGAAAGACGGUGUUGCGGUCACUUAUAGAUGGAUCUGCGCCUCAUUAGCUAGUUGGGAAGUUAACGGCUUACCAAGGCAACGAUGCGUAGACGAACGGAGAGGGUGGUCGGCGACACUGGAGGUGGACCGGGGUCAUGGCGACUGAGGGAGGGAGCAGAAGGCAAUCUUCCGCAAUGGGCGAGAGCAUGACGCAGCAGGCGGGAGUCAGUGAUGACGGUCUCCCGAGCGUAAAGAUCUCUUAUUAGGGAAGAACCGCUGUGGAAGUAAAUAUGCCCGUAUUGACGGUAACUGAUAAGAAAGCACCGGCUAACUACGUG
rnacentral:rRNA from 1 species